rfam:Trichosporon oleaginosus strain IBC0246 unplaced genomic scaffold CC85scaffold_59, whole genome shotgun sequence.
GGCCGCUUAGCUCAGUUGGUUAGAGCAUUGUACUAAUACGCCGGCGCGUAUCAGCCUGUUAUGCAAGGGUCGGCAGUUCGAGUCUGUCAGUGGUCA